AUCCUCAGGUUCAUAGACCUGAUGAUUGGGUGUUCAUGCUCAAUGCAUGACAUGUGGCUCCUUUGAACUUUGUAGGACAUCGGCACACUACCCAUCUGACA
rfam:Cavia porcellus supercont2_133 genomic scaffold, whole genome shotgun sequence.